rnacentral:rRNA from 1 species
GACGAACGCUGGCGGCGUGCUUAACACAUGCAAGUCGAACGGAAAGGCCUCUUUCGGGGGGUACUCGAGUGGCGAACGGGUGAGUAACACGUGAGUAACCUGCCCUUGACUUUGGGAUAACUUCAGGAAACUGGGGCUAAUACCGGAUAGGAGCUCCUGCUGCAUGGUGGGGGUUGGAAAGUUUCGGCGGUUGGGGAUGGACUCGCGGCUUAUCAGCUUGUUGGUGGGGUAGUGGCUUACCAAGGCUUUGACGGGUAGCCGGCCUGAGAGGGUGACCGGCCACAUUGGGACUGAGAUACGGCCCAGACUCCUACGGGAGGCAGCAGUGGGGAAGAUUGCACAAUGGGUGGAAGCCUGAUGCAGCAACGCCGUGUGCGGGAUGACGGCCUUAGGGUUGGAAACCGCUUUCGCUCAUGACGAAGCUUUGUGUGACGGUAGUGGGUAAAGAAGCACCGGCUAACUACGUG